rnacentral:lncRNA from 1 species
UAGGCAAAGUAGACAGGGAGGGUGUUUUCUCCCAAUCAAGCUAUAAUCAAACUGACUUAGAAGAAGCUAUUAAUGCACAGAUCCAUCAUUGCUUGGCUAUGGACAAACGGGCAGGUGGUGCUGCACAACAGGCUGGGAUGAGCUCUUUUUUUCCUUCCUGGACGGAAAAGCUGCCACGUCUUUGAGCUGCUGAGAUGUUGCCAUGAUGUGGUGGUGCCUGAGGAGUGGUCCUUUCUUUGGCAUCUGCAGGCCCUGAGGCAUGGUCUGGAACUGGAAGAGGAACAAAGGGUUGCUGAAGUCUGCUUUGCAGGAGAUGGACCUAAACAGCUCUGAGCAGCCAACGGAGGGAAGAAGAGAUUCCUAGAAGGCAAGAAACAAAAUGGCCAGGUAACCCAUCUGAAUAGUAUCCGGGCAUUAGCACAGGCUACCAGCCAAUCAGAAGCAAGGAAGUGAAGAGGAAAGGAGGACUGAGGGAUUGUUUUGGCUGCUGGUCACUCAGAGACUAAGAGAGAGAGCCUUCAGACUCCCUCAUUCCCUUGUGGGAUUUAUGAGGAAACUAAGACCCAUAAAUAUCAAAAAUGUGACCCAAGGCCUUGGAUAUAGUGAUUGUCAGAGUUGCCCUCAACCUGGGACCUCUGGGAUCAAGAGAAGUGAGCCUUGGACUAACUACAUGUUCACUCUCGCAUCGGAAAUUGGGUGUAAUUUGGCUUAAAUAUGGGGCUUGGGGAUUGUUAUCAAUUUGUUAUGGCACAAAUUGUCCUUUUUCAAUUUGCCUUUUCUCUUCCCUUCUUCCCUCCAAAAUAUCCCCCUAUUCUUUCUCCCUCUGCACUUCCAAUUCAGAGGAACUCAGGUUUUUACUUCCUUAGGAGGACGUGCUAGCAUCACCGGUGUUGUGGGCCUUGAGCCGAGGGCCUCAGGACUGUGAUGAGGCUCAGGGCCACAGUAAGAGCAGGGUUUCCUGAACACAACACUGCACUUAACCACACCUGGGUGAAAAUUUCAUUUUCUUCACACAAAGACUGGGCUCUAAAGUGUCCAGUGUUCUAUGAGUCUCGAUAAGGUGAAAUAAUUCUGUUAUUGUUGACUCAUAGAUUUUCUGCUUGCAUGUAUACCUAAAGACUUUUUGCAAUUCUUGCCAGGGUAUAUAUUUUUUAAGAUACAAAACUGUCUUACACCCCACAGCAAGCUUUAAUCCUGUGAGGACAAUCUGUUUCUCCUGGCAACACUAAGGCUACUAGAUGAACAGGGGUCAGCCGGGUAGUUUGAAGAGAAGCCUUGGUAAUCUGUUAGACAAAGCUGAGAAUUCUCUAAAGAAUGUCUAGCAAAGAUACUUCAGUUUGAAGUGAAUAGAAAGGGUUUUGUUCACAGGCCCUGCCUUGCUGCUGGAUUCAAAGAAUGUGCAGCACCAGAAAAGGACAUCAAUGUCCUUCUUGAAAAUGAAACACACACGCGCACACACACACACACACACACACGUGUCUUCUUUUCUGCCUGCAUUGAGCAUUGCAUAACUGUGGAAAAGUUCAUCACGCCUGAAAAUAUGUAUCUUUCCUUUGAUCCAAAGCAAGUGCUAUAUUGGAAUAAAGAUGCCAUAUCUUCCGCCUUUAGUAAAAUGAAUUGUCAAGGAUUUUGCUUCAGAAAGAUCAAGAAAAGACCAAACGAUUCUGCAGGGUGAGGCCUCAGAGUUCAGGCUGUUGAUUAGGAGUUAGGGGCCCUGUAAGUCUUAUUGGUUCUCAGCUUUCUCACUAGCUCAUGUUUGUGACCUUAGGCAAGGCACUUAAGCUCUUUGUACCUUCAUUCCUCCAUUUGAAAAUUAGAGAUAAUACUUGCCGCCUACUUAAACUCAAAGGGAUAUGUGAGGAUUAGCCAAUUAAAGUUUGCCAAAUGCUUGGGAAUCAAUGGAGGGAAAAAUCUGUAUGAAUAUAAGGUAUCAUUGUCAGUCCCGCCUGACUCCCUCUUCACUCUCUUACCCCUCCUGUUUCCACCCUCUCUUUUAAAGGAUUGCCUUCCUGGGAAACUCAUGAGCAUUAUGCAUGGUUUUACUUAUGGUUGCUAUUGUGGAAAGUGGCCAUCUCCUAUUAUUAAGUGAUUUGUUUGAAGUUGGUCCUUUCUAUACCAUCACGGGGGAGGUUUCCAAAUCAAAGCAUCCUAGACUGAUUGUCAGUGAGGCACAGCUGGCAAGGUUUCUUUUGGGUUUACCUUUAGCAUCCUGUAGAGAGGAGAAAACAACCAUUUUAAUGUAAAAUAGUAAGCAUAAUUUGGAAAUAUUUGCCCAUUAGGAAUACAAAGCUAGUGAGGUACAAAAAUAAAGUCAAUUUAGAGCCCUUGUUACAAUCCUUGAAGAAAUUCCCCUUUUAACCAAAACAAUAAUAGUGCUUCCUAUUUCAUAAACGUUGCUCCUCUGGCUGUUACAGCCACGUGAAAAAUGAGUGUAACAUAACUAUGGCAUAUUAUCUGUUUGUUUCACAAUUGGAAAAUUGAGAUGCAGAGAGAUUAAGUGACUUGCUCACCACAACUUAGCUAACGAACGGAACGGCAA